rnacentral:rRNA from 1 species
UCCGGUUGAUCCUGCCGGACCCUACUGCUACCAGGAUGAGACUAAGCCAUGCGAGUCGUGCGCCUCCUAGCUAUGUUGGAGGCGCGGCGUACGGCUCAGUAACACGUAGUCAACCUGCCCUUGGGACGAGAACAACCUCGGGAAACUGAGGCUAAUACUCGAUAUGUGGAAGCGCCUGGAAUGGUCUUUCGCUGAAAAGGCGCAUGAUACAUGCAUUAUGCGUUGCCCAAGGAUGGGACUGCGGCCGAUCAGGUAGUUGGUAAGGUAACGGCUUACCAAGCCUAUAACCGGUACGGGCCCUGAGAGGGGAAGCCCGGAGAUGGUAACUGAGACAAGGUCCUAGGUCCUACGGGGCGCAGCAGGCGCGAAAACUUCGCAAUGCGCGAAAGCGCGACGAGGUUAUCCUGAGUGCCGUCUGAAAGGAUGGCUUUUCAUCGACGUAAACAGUCGGUGGAAUAAGGGGAGGGCAAGACUGGUGUCAGCCGCCGCGGUAAUACCAGCCCCCCGAGUGGUAGGGACAAUUAUUUGGCCUAAAGCGUUCGUAGCCUGCUCGGUAGGUCCUCCGUCAAAUCUGACGAUCCCAUCGUCAGACUGCGGGGGAUACCGCCGGGCUAGGAGGCGGGAGAGGUCGACGGUAGUCCAGGGGUAGGGGUGGAAUCCUAUAAUCCUUGGAGGACCACCAGUGGCGAAGGCGGUCGACCAGAACGCGCUCGACGGUGAGGGACGAAAGCUGGGGGAGCAAACCGGAUUAGAUACCCGGGUAGUCCCAGCUGUAAACGAUGCGAGCUAGGUGUUGGAGCGGCUACGGGCCGCUCCAGUGCCUCAGGGAAGCCCUUAAGCUCGCCGCCUGGGGAGUACGGUCGCAAGGCUGAAACUUAAAGGAAUUGGCGGGGGAGCACCACAAGGCGUGAAGGCUGCGGUUUAAUUGGAGUCAACGCCGGAAACAUUACCGGGGCCGACAGCAGGAUGAAGGUCAGAUUGAAGGUCUUACUAGACAAGCUGAGCGGAGGCGCAUGGCCGUCGCCAGUUCGUGCUGUGAAGUGUCCUGUUAAGUCAGGCAACGAUCGAGACCCUCACUGCUAGUUACCCGCGGCUCCCAUCGGGAAUCGGGCACACUAGCGGAACCGCCGCCGACAGGGCUGAGGAAGGCGAGGGCAACGGCAGGUCAGCAUGCCCCUAAUGCCCCGGGCCACACGCGGCCUGCAAUGGUAGGGACAAAGGGUUUCGACCUCGAAAGAGGAAGGCAAUCCCCAAACCCUAUCGUAGUCGGGAUCGAGGGCUGGAACCCGCCCUCGUGAACAUGGAAUGCCUAGUAAUCGCGUGUCAUCAUCGCGCGGUGAAUACGUCCCCGCUCCUUGCACACACCGCCCGUCGCUCCAUCCAAGUCGGGUCGAGGUGAGGCGCAGUCUUGUUGGCUGCGUCGAGCCUGGGCUCGGCGAGGGGGGAGAAGUCGUAACAAGGUG